rnacentral:rRNA from 1 species
GAUGAACGCUGGCGGCGUGCCUAAUACAUGCCAGUCGAGCGAACGGACGAGAAGCUUGCUUCUCUGAUGUUAGCGGCGGACGGGUGAGUAACACGUGGAUAACCUACCUAUAAGACUGGGAUAACUUCGGGAAACCGGAGCUAAUACCGGAUAAUAUUUUGAACCGCAUGGUUCAAAAGUGAAAGACGGUCUUGCUGUCACUUAUAGAUGGAUCCGCGCUGCAUUAGCUAGUUGGUAAGGUAACGGCUUACCAAGGCAACGAUGCAUAGCCGACCUGAGAGGGUGAUCGGCCACACUGGAACUGAGACACGGUCCAGACUCCUACGGGAGGCAGCAGUAGGGAAUCUUCCGCAAUGGGCGAAAGCCUGACGGAGCAACGCCGCGUGAGCGAUGAAGGUCUUGGGAUCGUAAAACUCUGUUAUUAGGGAAGAACAUAUGUGUAAGUAACUGUGCACAUCUUGACGGUACCUAAUCAGAAAGCCACGGCUAACUACGUG